AGGUACUUAGGUUACGAGGGUGGAUUCCUCAUAAUAGAAUUAGUGUCUUUACGAGAAAAGACCGAAGAAAGCUUGCUUUCUCCUCUCCUGCCACAUGAGGACACAGUGAAAAGAUGGCCGUGUGCGUACCGGGAAGUGGCCCUUGAGAAUGUGACCAUGCUGGCACCCUGAUCUUGAACAUCCCAUCUUCCAGAACUGUGAGAAGUCAGCGUCUGUCGUUUAAAGCACCUGGUCUACGGUAUUCCGCGAUAGCAGUCUAAAUAAAAACACCUGCUGAUGGACAGCGCCGCGGGUCCUCCAACCCCUGCCCCUGCUUAUUUCAAGGCAUCACCUCGGAAGUGAGAGGUGACCUCUGCGGUAUCACUCUGAGCCAUGACAAUACCCCAAGGCCGAACAUGGAGAAGGCCUUCAAGAGCUACAAAGGAGUGAAGGAGGGAGCAAACUUUCUCUGGGAUCCUACCUGAAAACUGUUCCUCUCUUCUGUUUGCUUCUUUUAGCAUCACUAUGAUGUACGACAAGGUCUUGCUAAGUUGCUAAGUUACCCAGCUGGCUCAUAGCCUCAUUUAAUCCUCUGAAUAAUCGUGCUCAGCAGGCUUUACUGUCUCCUGUGUCAGACGACGACGAUGACGAAGGAUACUGAGGUCCAUCAGCUGUACCAACACAGUACAGCGCCUGCAGUAUGUGGGCAAUUCAAGCUGCUGUUUAGGAACUCGGUUCCAGAUGGCUCUGACAUCAUGCUGGCUCAACAAGACCAGUGACCACUUUGCCCCUGCAGAUGAGGGUGCCAUGUGCUUGCAGACAGCAUGUGAGAGUCCCAGGCGAGGAAGACACAGUGAAAGAGGACAUUUCCAGGAGGAGGAUGAACAAGCCAGAAGCAAGGGAAUAGCCAGAGCCAAGAUCUUGAGGAAGACUCCGCCCGAACACAUCCACCACACAGCAAUGAAGCCAGUGUGUCUGGAGGAGGGAGGACAAGAUCGGAGAGGAAGAGCGGGAGCAGCUGCUCACGUGCUGCCUCUUCGGCCACUGUGCAGUUACUUCCGAGGUAACAUGGAAGGAGAAACCUGCGAAAAGGCCCCUGGUGGUGAAGGAGGAGUUCACUGAGCCAACAGCAGGGAAGCUCAGAGGUGUGUCCAGAAAAUACGCUCCUCACAGCACCCUGACAGGGCUGGCAAGAUGUGAUGUUUUUGAUGUAAAUUGGUAUGAGGUGAGUGCAUCUGAGGAAGAGAAAAGCUCUUCUUUGAGGCAAGGUGAAUCUACCAGAUCUAAUUCUGUAAGUAUCACAUAUCACAUUUCCUCUCAAGUGUACACCACAUUUCUUCUCAAGUGUACCACCCCCUCUCCCCUCUCUCCCAUGCUCUCCCUUCUCUCCUGCUCUCUUCCUCUCCCCCUCUGUUCUUCUCUCUCCAUCUCUCUCCCUUUCCCUCUCUUCCUCUCUCCAACUACUGCUGCCAACUGACUCUGCCUCUCUCAAUUUAACAUGAGACUGACCAUAUCUUCUUCAUAGGUUUGGCUACUGGUAAGAAUUGAAAUAACACUUGCAAACCAUGGCACCCUCCACCUGCUAUAAGAAAAAAAACUGAAAUUGACUUUUACCCUAGAAGCUUUCCUUCACAAUCUAUGCUAUCCAAGUUGACUGGAUUAUCAACCCCACAACACAUGAUAGGGUUGGCACACAUCAUAUGCCCAAAAUAUUUUGUUGGAUGAAAGAAUGCAUGAGCAAACAAAGGAAAGAGGGGAUCAUGUAUAAAAGCACGCAGUCUCCCACCUUAGACGGAGUCAUGGUGAUGAAUGUGCCCAAGGCAACUAUCAGCUACAGUGCCAGAGCCCUGAGCACUAACGAGGACUAGAAAAACAAGCACACCUCCUCACUCCUACAUGGCUUCCCCCGGUCUCAGAGCUCUGCCUGCUCUAGCCCUCCCUUUGAUAAGUCAUCACCCUCUCUCAGGUGCCAUUAGGACACUGAUGAGAUGUGAUUAGCCCUGAUCUGGACCCAUUUGACUGACCUGAGGAAGGCAGAGGUGUUCCCUUGAGGUAGAGAAAGAAAAACACAGAAAAAGAGAGCUUGGGAGCUGAGGCUGGGCUUAGGGUCAGGGAGGGGCAUCAUGGUCUGGAGGAGUUAAGUGCUCUGAAAGGCUGGCUCUGCAGUUAGAAAGAACCUUGCUGGUAACUUAUGCUUUUACCCCUUUAUUUACAAUUCUGAAAUCCAAAAGCUCUGAAGACCCACAGGUCAUGGGUGACUUGACCUGAACCUAUAUAAUGUCCUACAUAGUCUCAAUUGAUCCCACUUUUCAAAAAUUUUCAUUUUUGUUGCACAAAAAUUACUGUGUUUGAUUACAAGUCCUGCUCCAGACCACCCCCCACAAACUGGAGUGGUAAAUGAUACAUGGUUAUGCAUCAUAUUUUACUUUCUAAUAUCCAACACAUUUUGAAUUCUAAUACUAUAUAUAGUUUCAGUGUUUUUGAUAAAGAAGUGCACAUCUCCUCUAUUCGACUGCAAACUUCUUUAAAUUGUUUCUUCAUUCAGUUGACUACUUGUUCACUCAUUCUAAAAGUCAUCCCUAUUGUCACCAUCUCCAUUUAUCCUAGUGUCUCUUUGAAGGUAUUUGACUGACCUCAGGAUGACAGAGGUUUGCCCAGAGGGACUCAGUCUUAUGGAUGGGCUCAUCUUGCACACUCCUCAGCCACUAUGUUCCUCAGUUGGUCCUGUUUUCAUCUGACUUCACUCCAGGUUAGGAGAGACCCUGGGAGCUGAGGCCAGGGAAGAAUCUUCUUUUGCUUGCCUUGCAGUGGGUCCCAGCAAGUCUCACGUCCUCAACGGUCUCCUACAGGCAUGAAGAAGUCCCAGAUAAUGCUCUAAGGUGCUCAUGCCCACCCAGGCGAGAUCACCCUGAGUGGGAUGUGGGGGAAAUCACAGUGCAGAAGGGCAAGAAAGCCUUGAGAUGUACUGAGACCUCUCUACUACACACAGUGCCGGUUACAGAAAACUGUUAUCUAGAGGCUAUCUGACAUCCUGGUCUCCACCCAUGCCUCUUGGAGCUGUGAGAGAUAUAAUUUGUGAUAACAAGGGAGACUAGGGAAGGCUUCCUGGAGGAGGUAA